rnacentral:rRNA from 1 species
CGUUGCUUUCUUUGCUGGCGACCGGCGCACGGGUGAGUAACACGUAUCCAACCUGCCCUUUACUCGGGGAUAGCCUUUCGAAAGAAAGAUUAAUACCCGAUAGUAUAAUGAUUCCGCAUGGUUUCAUUAUUAAAGGAUUCCGGUAAAGGAUGGGGAUGCGUUCCAUUAGGUUGUUGGUGAGGUAACGGCUCACCAAGCCUUCGAUGGAUAGGGGUUCUGAGAGGAAGGUCCCCCACAUUGGAACUGAGACACGGUCCAAACUCCUACGGGAGGCAGCAUG